rnacentral:lncRNA from 1 species
UUUAUGUUUUUUUCUCAUAAAUCAUUGGAAAAGACUUCUGAGCCUUUCUCAUGUGGCUUACCUUCUCAUCUUUACUGUCCGACUCAAUUUGAAACCCUAGGAUUUACGGAUUUUUUGGCAAUUUUUAUUUCUUGUGUGCGGGUUAAGGGUUCCACUUUGGGACCUUGGACUCUCAUACUCGCUUUGAGUCUGCAAACCGGCCUUGUACCACUUUUGCUUAUGAUUCUGAAUCUUUCUUUGAUUAAAUUCUCUUCUAAAUAACUUGACAAUCCCUUCUUGAUAUAUUUGUCUACUCUAUAUAUGAGAAAUUCCUCUUUCAUAAGGUUUUUACCAACUAAUUAAUUGAUUCUGAAAUCCGUUUAAUAAGGCUGACGGAUUAUCACUGAUUUUCUUUGAUUGAACCUUCUUUACCUUUUCUUGACUUGUGUUAUUCGAAUUGAACUUGUAACUUUGGUUUCACUCGUCGUAUGAUUGAUUCCCUUUCCAUAUUUGUCACAAACUGUGUACUAUUGAAUGUUUUCCUUAAGUGACUUCUUUGUAUUUACCCCUUUUGUGCUACUUUGAAAAUGUUUUAAUCAAAACUUCUUUCCUUAAUUGGUUUUUACCCGUUGAAAACUAAAUGGAGAUUGAUUCCAAUAAUAUUUCCUUACAUUUCUUACUUUUUUUCUACACUAUUAAAGGGACUGCCCUUCUGCACUCGUAACAGACCUUUAGUACGAUCAUCCUUAACUCCCAAUUCAAUACUCUCACACACUUAAUACUUUGAGUUCAAUACUCUUUCAACAUUUUGCUCUUUCUUGAGAUGUUUUGGAGCUGUUUUGCUUGCAACUUGGCUUUUUUAAGACUCAUGUUAUUACUUGUUUUUCCCUGAAAUUGGUAUGUUUUUUAUUUAAUUUUCUGCUUCACCCUUAUGUGUUUAGUUCAUAGUUUCACAUUCUUUUUUACUUUGCUAUUGCUAUUUAGUGAGUAGACUAUGUAUGUCAUUUUCCUGCAUAUGUUUCUAUCAUGAAUACCUACCCUUAUUCCCUUCUUGGUGUUUGAGUUAAAGUUCUUGGCCAGCAGUAUCCAAAUUACUGCCUAGUCCAUAACCUGAUACACAAUGGAUCCUAAUUCCUAAGAUUGGGUUAACAGGCUGG